UCAAGUUACAAAGAGCGCAGGGCGGAUGCCUUGGCACCAAAAGCCUAAGAAGGACGUGACAAGCUGCGAAAAGCUGCGGUAAGGAGCACAUAUCCCAUGACCCGCAGAUAUCCGAAUGGGUAAACCUACGUGAGGGAACUGCUCACGUGUUCAUACGUGAAACAAAUAGCGUAUGAUCGGUAACGAAGUGAAUUGAAACAUCUUAGUAGCUUCAGGAAAAGAAAUCAAACGAGAUUCCGCUAGUAGUGGCGAGCGAACGCGGAAGAGGCCAAACCGUGAUACUUCGGUAUUGCGGGGUUACGGACUACCAUAAAUGAUCCUAAAGUCUAGCUGAAUGAGCGGUUGGAAAGCCGAGUCCAUAGAGCGUAAUAGUCGCGUAAGCGAAAGAUAGAAGGCAUAGGUAGCACCAGAGUACUACGAGACACGAGAAACCUCGUAGGAAGUCGGGGGGACCACCCUCCAAGCCUAAACACUUUUGGUGACCGAUAGUGAACUAGUACUGUGAAGGAAAGGUGAAAAGAACCCCUGGCGGGGAGUGAAAUAGAACCUGAAACCCUGUGUUUACAAGCAGUCGGAGAGCGUUAAUGCUCGACGGCGUACUUUUUGUAUAACGGUCCGACGAGUUAUGGUUAUUGGCAAGGUUAAGAACAAAAAGUUCGGAGCCGAAGCGAAAGCGAGUCCUAACUGGGCGCGAAGUCAAUGGCUGUAGACCCGAAGCCAAGUGACCUAUCCAUGAGCAGGUUGAAGUGACGGUAACACGUCAUGGAGGACCGCACCCUUAUCUGUUGCAAAAGGUCGGGAUGACUUGUGGAUAGCGGAGAAAUUCCAAACGAACUUGGCGAUAGCUGGUUCUCCCCGAAAUAGCUUUAGGGCUAGCCUCAUAAUUAGUAUACCGGAGGUAGAGCACUGACUUGACUAGGGGCCUUACCGGGCUACCGAAUCAUAUCAAACUCCGAAUGCCGAGUAUAUAUAUAUGGGAGUCAGAGUGCGCCAGAUAAUGCCGUACUCGAGAGGGAAACAACCCAGACCGUCAGCUAAGGUCCCCAAAUGAUUGUUAAGUGGGAAAGGAUGUGGACUUGCUAAGACAGCUAGGAUGUUGGCUUAGAAGCAGCCACUCAUUUAAAGAGUGCGUAAUAGCUCACUAGUCGAGUGGGUCUGCGCCGAAGAUAUACGGGGCUAAACAAUCUACCGAAGCUACGGAACUAUAAAGGUUGGUAGGGGAGCAUUCUGUAGGAAGCAGAAGCAUGAUCGUAAGAACAUGUGGAUUCAUCAGAAGCGAGAAUGUCGGAAUAAGUAACGUAAGGGAAGUGAGAAUCUUCCCCGUCGAAAAUCCAAGGUUUCCUGGGGAAGGUUCGUCCGCCCAGGGUUAGUCGGGACCUAAGAUGAGGCCAAGCGGCGUAGUCGAUGGACAACAGGUGGAAAUUCCUGUACUACCGCUUAACGAUAUGAGAGACGCAGGGACACAGGGGGAUAGCUUUAGCGAGCGACAGGAAGAGCUCGUUUAAGCCCGGUAGAUAGUCUAGUAGUGAAGUACGCUGGACGUUUCGAAUGGGUGAACACUAGGGAAAAAUAAGUACCGAAGAAAGUGAUUCCGCACUGGCGAGAAAAGCUGCUAUCCAGUUAAGAGGUACCCGUACCGUAAACCGACACAGGUGGAUAAGAAGAGAAUUCUAAGACGAGCGGGAGAAGCAUUGUUAAGGAACUCGGCAAAUUAACCCCGUACGUUAGCAAGAAGGGGUGCCAGAGCAAUCUGGCCGCAGUGAAAUGGCCCGAGCAACUGUUUACCAAAAACACAGGUCUCCGCUAAAUCGUAAGAUGAAGUAUGGGGGCUGACGCCUGCCCGGUGCUGGAAGGUUAUGGGAAUCUGUUAGCUUUAUGCGAAGCAGUGAACUUAAGCCCCAGUAAACGGCGGCCGUAACUAUAACGGUCCUAAGGUAGCGAAAUUCCUUGUCAGGUAAGUUCUGACCCGCACGAAUGGCGUAAUGACUUGGGCACUGUCUCGACAAUGCACCCGGUGAAAUUGUAGUACUUGUGAUAAUGCAAGUUACCCGCGACAGGAAGGAAAGACCCCAUGGAGCUUUACUGUAGAUUGUUAUUGGGCUUCGAUGUUGUCUGUAGAGUAUAGGUGGCAGACUGUGAAGCAUUGGCGUCAGCUGGUGUGGAGUCGUCCUUGGAAUACCACCCUGACAAUAUUGGAUCUCUAACCAGAGGCCGUUAUCCGGUCCUGGGACAUUGGCAGUCGGGCAGUUUGACUGGGGCGGUCGCCUCCAAAAAGGUAACGGAGGCGUUCAAAGGUCACCUCAGCACGGUUGGAAAUCGUGCAUCGAGCGCAAAGGCAUAAGGUGGCUUGACUGCGAGACUUACAAGUCGAGCAGGUACGAAAGUAGGACUUAGUGAUCCGGCGGUAGAAAGUGGAAUUGCCGUCGCUCAACGGAUAAAAGUUACCCUGGGGAUAACAGGCUUAUUCCUCCCAAGAGUUCACAUCGACGGAGGAGUUUGGCACCUCGAUGUCGGCUCAUCACAUCCUGGGGCUGGAGCAGGUCCCAAGGGUUCGGCUGUUCGCCGAUUAAAGUGGUACGCGAGCUGGGUUCAGAACGUCGUGAGACAGUUCGGUCCCUAUCCGUCGUGGGCGUAGGAAAUUUGAGAGGAGCUGUCCCUAGUACGAGAGGACCGGGAUGGACGAACCUAUGGUGAACCGGUUGUCACGCCAGUGGCAUAGCCGGGUAGCUAAGUUCGGUUGGGAUAAACGCUGAAAGCAUCUAAGUGUGAAGCCCCCCUCAAGAUGAGAUUUCCCCACAAUAUGUGAUAAGAUCCCUGGAAGACUACCAGGUUGAUAGGCCGAGAGUGUAAGCAUAGUAAUAUGUUCAGCGGAUCGGUACUAAUAGAUCGAAGAUUUGACCU
rnacentral:rRNA from 1 species